rnacentral:lncRNA from 1 species
CCAGCUGCUGGUGCUACUGCGACGUACUUGGAGCAACGCUUCUGCUUAUUUCCUCUGCCUGCACCUUAUAUUUGUUGUGUUUAUCGAGACCUGGCCUGUCUCUGCCUCGUUGAAGACAAAUGGACACAAGUA